UACGUAGGGGGCAAGCGUUGUCCGGAUUUAUUGGGCGUAAAGAGCGUGUAGGCGGCCAUUCAGGUCAGCUGUGAAAACUCGAGGCUCAACCUCGAGACGUCGGUUGAAACCGUUUGGCUAGAGUCCGGAAGAGGAGAGUGGAAUUCCCGGUGUAGCGGUGAAAUGCGCAGAUAUCAGGAGGAACACCGGUGGCGAAGGCGGGUCUCUGGGCAACAACUGACGCUGAGGAGCGAAAGCGUGGGGAGCGAACAGG
rnacentral:rRNA from 1 species